GGAAUAUGCAUGAACAAGUGGGU
rnacentral:siRNA from 1 species